GGGAGAAGGGCCCGGCUGCAGGGAGCUAGACAAGAUGGCUGCUAAUUACCUGUUCCAAAUUGGCAACAUGCUAUUGUUCAUAACCUCUACGUACAAGGUUAAUAUGGUCCAGAAAAGCAGAAGAAAGAAAAACAGGAGAGCAGUAGCAGAACUACUAGUAGGAUGCUUUGUUUAUACUGAACUAAAUGACAGCUCUGUGCAAGAUCAUCUGUACACUGAAAGGAUACUACUGAGGACUGGCAAACAGUCUUUAGUUUGGUACAGGUGCCACCUACGUAGUAAACGUCAGCUAACAAAGAAAAUCUAACUUUU